AGAGCAUCAGCCCUGGGCAUUGACCUGGACUACACUGAGUGGUCCCUCUGGGGUACAAAUGUCUCCUGUUCUCUGUGCUGUUUGACCAGGAGCUAGAAGGGAUGCCAGCAAGUCAUCAGGAAAAACCAUGUUCUCACAGACCCAGAGAAAGUUCUGAUCACCUGUUACUCCCAAGGACAUCCAUUAUCCCAGCGUGUGUGGAGCAGGCCACUAGAUGGAAGUGUUUGCUCAGUAAGCUGAGAUGACAAGCUAAAUAAAAGAUGAGAAAGUCCUGGGUAUCCUGGUUUG
rnacentral:lncRNA from 1 species